UCCGUAGGGUGCAAGCGUUCAUCGGAAUUACUGGGCGUAAAGCGUGCGCAGGCGGUUGUGCAAGACAGGUGUGAAAUCCCCGGGCUUAACCUGGGAACUGCACUUGUGACUGCACGGCUUGAGUGCGGCAGAGGGGGAUGGAAUUCCGCGUGUAGCAGUGAAAUGCGUAGAUAUGCGGAGGAACACCGAUGGCGAAGGCAAUCCCCUGGGCCUGCACUGACGCUCAUGCACGAAAGCGUGGGGAGCAAACAGG
rnacentral:rRNA from 1 species